GCUCUAUUUUUCUCAACCAUUGCAUCCUAUAUUCGGGGUGCCGGUUCGCCGGCUAUGGAAAUAAAUUGCCGUCGCAAUAAACCAUUCGGACCCGGGGGCAGUACCCGGCGCCUCCACCCAAGCCCGCCGAGACGGGCUUCGGCGGGGGCGAAACAGGAUCGACGAGGGCGUAAAGGGCGUGUUUUUUCCCGGUAUUGUUCCGCCGUUAUCGGGCUAUGCAAUAGUUGCAAACGACAACUAUGCUCCGGUUGCUCAGGCCGCGUAAGCGGUUUGAAAGACCGAAUUAAAGCCCUGGCGUCUUAGCAGCGUCAGGCGGGGUUCGGAGGCACCUGGCAACA
rnacentral:tmRNA from 1 species